ACUGUGGUCCUUUUCAACCCAGGCCAUUCUAUGACUCUAUGACUCUAUGACACCAUAAGACGUAGAAGCCAGAUCACUCACCAAUAACCUUGGUGCUCAGAACCAGCUUGCUCUUCAUCUGCAGCACUUUUCCCAGAAAGAAUCCAAAUCACAGAGAAGAAUGACUUGUUCUCAACCCCAAAAGUCCUUCUGCUGCUGAGUGGACAACCAAGCCUUCAUUUGACUGGACCCAAGGAGGUCUUGUACAGAGACCCAAGAGCAUCACAGUUCAGGAAUGUGAGCCCUUCUUUGCUGAUCUGCCUCCUACACAGAUCUUCAGAAGCCUGGCCCAGCGCCAUUAAACACUGAUCUCUCCUGGGUGCA